GGCACUUACACUCCCCGGGUACUAAGUUAAACACAUACCAAUACAAACACACCCAGGCAACAGAUAGUCAACAUGCAGGUAAACCAGGUAUCAUUAACAAUACAAAGACUCUGGGCAAGUUAUUACCUGACUUUGAUGUCCUCUCGGCAGCAGUCACAGACACUGGGACAGGUCAAUCACAGGGGUAGGAACAUACCGGCUAGGUGCUGCAGCAAUCUCUACCGUGUAUUCAGAGGUGAUCAGGCUCUUUUCCUUCCCCCAGGAUUCAGCCCCCCCAGCGUCUUCUUGGACAGCUGCCCAGACAGGACAUAGCCCAGAGCCCCACGUUGAGAGCGCCAAUUGUUCUAGAUAAUUUACUGCAAACCAAUUAGUUUGAAUGACUAUCUGUUCCUGUCCAAAUUAAAGAUAAUAAAGUUGCGUGCACGCAGAAGUAAAUUCACACUGAGACACAAGGUUCAGGG